rnacentral:rRNA from 1 species
UACAGAGGUCUCAAGCGUUGUUCGGAUUCAUUGGGCGUAAAGGGUGCGUAGGUGGCGCGGUAAGUCGGGUGUGAAAUUUCGGAGCUUAACUCCGAAACUGCAUUCGAUACCGCCGUGCUUGAGGACUGGAGAGGAGACUGGAAUUUACGGUGUAGCAGUGAAAUGCGUAGAGAUCGUAAGGAAGACCAGUGGCGAAGGCGGGUCUCUGGACAGUUCCUGACACUGAGGCACGAAGGCCAGGGGAGCAAACGGG